CGGCGUCCACAGAUGGACAGGGAACAGCCUGUGGUUCUUGUGGUCUGCACUAGGGUGCGAGAGUAAAGACCCCCAUGAUUCUGCCUGUCUUCGUGGCGCCCCGAUUGACCUGGGGACUACGUCG